GGGGAUGUGGCUCAGUGGUAGAGCACUUGCCUGGCAUGCAGGAGGCCCCGAGUUCAAUCCUG
rnacentral:tRNA from 1 species